rnacentral:rRNA from 1 species
UACGAAGGGGGCUAGCGUUGCUCGGAAUCACUGGGCGUAAAGGGUGCGUAGGCGGGCCUUUAAGUCAGGGGUGAAAUCCUGGAGCUCAACUCCAGAACUGCCUUUGAUACUGAGGAUCUUGAGUUCGGGAGAGGUGAGUGGAACUGCGAGUGUAGAGGUGAAAAUUCGUAGAUAUUCGCAAGAACACCAGUGGCGAAGGCGGCUCACUGGCCCGAUACUGACGCUGAGGCACGAAAGCGUGGGGAGCAAACAGGG